rnacentral:lncRNA from 1 species
AAGGGAGCCCCGGGAGCGACUGCUGAGGGACACCGCGGCGAGCGAGCAUGGGUGGAGGAGCUGAGGGUGUGAGCAGGGCUGCAGCGGGCAGGUCCAAGGCAGGCGGGAGAGUCUCCAUAACAGCUCUGCACGAUGGGAGGACCCCAAGACAGCAGCCCAAGGAGGACAGGCAUUCUCGUGAGACAGCCGGAAUCCAGGUCUUCAGCUCCUCUGUGGUGCCGCAGGGGCUCCUGGGAGUCCGCCAUCUUGUGGACAGUGAACGGCCAGCCGUCUGCUCUCUACUGGAUCUGAAGACAUCCCUGGGAGCAGAGCGGAUGUUGGUAGCAGAUUCCAGUAUGGGAAGCUCAGAGAAGGUAAGCAGGGUGUCGGGGAGCCCCUGCCUGGGGUCCUCUGCAGCCGCCGUGUCGCUGGGGACUCGGUGUCCGUCCCUUGGUGUGGUGCUUGGAGCCGAGGGUGGUGGUGGACACCUGUGGUGGGGAGGACGGUCAUGCCCAGGUGGGGCCAGGGGCCAAGUGGCUGCUGGGGUCACACUCACACAACUCACAGUCACUUCUAAUUUUUCAGUUUCCAGAUGGCAGAUUAUGGGAUUUUUUUCCGCCUUCAAAAUUGUGAGUUGACUUCCAUUUUAAAAAUUCCCUUACCUGUAUCUAUAUUUAUAUCCAUACAUGUAUCUCUCUGUAUCUUACUGGUUCUGUUUAUAUUGUGUAUAUGCAGUAGCUAUCAUAGACUUUUUUUUUAUAUUGCAGAAACUUUUUAUUUAUUUAUUUAUUUUUUUAAAGGUUUUUUAAUAUAUAAGAAAAUCAUCUUAAACAUUUCCCCCCAUCUUCCCAUAUGGAUAACUGCAGUAAUUAGAAAGAAUUUGGGGGAGAUUGUAACAUUAUUGCAUGUGAAAUCUUAGUGAAAAAGUUCCCCUUUCCACCAGUCUUGACCUAAAACCAAGGUGACUUUUUUUUUUUGGUAUAAUGAUCAUAGCAAUCUAAUUUCACAGGAUUUCUAUCCCAUAGCCCAAGCAUACCCCCCCCACCCAAAAACUCUCUCCUCUGGAGACCAUAAGUUUUUCAAUGUCUGUGAGUCAGCAUCUGUUCUGCAAAGAAGUUCCGUCUGUCCAUUUUUCAGAUUCCACAUGUCAGUGAAAGCAUUUGUCAUCGGUGUCUCAUUGUAUGGCUGACUUCACUUAGAAUGAUAAUUUCUAGGUCCAUCCAUGUUGCUAAAAAUGCCGGUAUUUCACUCCUUUUAAUGGCUGAGUAAUAUUACAUUGUGUAUAUGGACCACAUCUUCUUGAUCCACUCCUCUGUCAAUGGACAUUUAGGUUGUUUCCAUGUUUUGGCUAUUGUAAAUAGUGUUGCAAUGAACACCGGAGUACAUGUGUUUUUGAGAGUCAUGGUUUUUCUCUGGAUAGAUGCCCAGGAGUGGGAUUGCUGGAUCAAAUGGGAGUUCUAUGUUUAGUUUUCUGAGGAAUCUCCAAACUGCUUUCCACAGUGGUUGCACCAAUGUGUAAUCCCACCAACCAUGUACUAGGGUUCCUUUUUUCUCCAUAGCCUCUCCAGCACUUCUUGUUUGUAGACUUUUUGA